rnacentral:lncRNA from 1 species
GUUUAAAAUUGGUCUCCGGAUUCAAGGUCCAAAGCUCCUCCAGGGGCCAGACCCCACCCUUCCUUCCCUCUUCAUUGAUCUUUCCUCUCUUUCUUUAACUUACUGUUGGCCAAUUGUUCAUACACCAAAGGCUGGUUUUCUUUUAUACAACAGCAGGCUGCCUAACUGAAAAGCACAAUUGUUGGGAACAAAUCUGUCUUUAUUGUGCUCUACUAGAUUGUCAAGCAUGAAAAAGAAAGUGGAGGAAAUGAGGCUAUGUGGGGAGAUUGGGUCCAGCUUUUCUGAACAUCUCCAUUAGGGCACCCCCAGAGAGACAGUGACUCUCAGCUGCUAUGAUAUUAACCCCAGGGACAUCGAGAAGGCUAUCUCCCUAGUUGUCAUCUGCAAAGGAGGCAGUUUCCAUUUUCUAGGUAGAAGCUAAUGGGCUCACAAUCAGUGACAUGUCACCACUCUCCCGGAAGAGUUCUCUUCCAAGGCCCAUUCAGCCUCUGCCAGGUUAUCCAUUAGAGCCCCAGGAUCAGGACUGCAGUGUACAACUGACUGUUUCUUGGAGAGAAGACACUGAUAGCAUCACCCCAACUAGCUGCAUCGAAACCUGCCUUUGCUUCUUGCCUGGAUGCCCUACUUAUGACCAAUGAUGCAACAGAAGGAAAAUUAAAUUUUACCUCCCUUGGUGGACAAAAUGGCAGGCAACAGGAAAAAAAACAGAAGUGUAAGACAAGGUCAUCUCUGCAGCGCCAAAUUCACACAGUCCUCUGACAAGGUGGCCAAAGAAGGAUCAGACUUGGAAUUACAAUGCCAACACAACAUUCCUGCUGGAAAUUAUGACUCUGUCUACUGGUACCUCCAGAAGACCAAUCAGAAACUCACUUAUGUCCAUCACGGAUUUCAAGACAUCACGGAAGCUGGGCAUUAUCAGAUAAAUGUGGAUAGGAAAAAGUGCUGCAGUAAAUUAAUCAUCAGGAAUGUGCAUCUAAGUGACGUGGCUGUAUAUUACUGUGCUUUACAAGGACACUGUGAUUCAUGCCACACACGACACCAAACAAAAACUGCAUGUUUCAAGUGUGAUGCGAAACAAAGAGAACCCAGUAACUAAGAGAAUAAACCAAUGUGACCCACAGGGGGCCUGUGUUCU